UGAAAUCGAGUAGGACGGGGCACGAGAAACCUUGUCUGAAUAUGGGGGGACCAUCCUCCAAGGCUAAAUACUACUGACUGACCGAUAGUGAACCAGUACCGUGAGGGAAAGGCGAAAAGAACCGCGGAGAGCGGAGUGAAAUAGAUCCUGAAACCGUAUGCGUACAAGCAGUGGGAGCCCACAUUGUUGGGUGACUGCGUACCUUUUGUAUAAUGGGUCAGCGACUUAUUG
rnacentral:rRNA from 1 species